AGCAUGGAGUUGGUUGUCCUGCCCCUUCACUGGGGCAUGUGCACGCCUUCUCUAUUCAUCCACACACACCUGUGAACUUGUGAGACGGAUAGUAGUCCUGGCAUGUGCUCGCUUCCGACAAUCUUAUCCAUACACCUGUGCACACUGUGAGGGCACCUAUACAUAAACUCCAGUAAAUAAAUUUGAAUGUCAUUUGAUGUAACGCAUCUAUAAACUAAGUUUCAACAACGGAUCUCUUGGCUCUCGCAUCGAUGAAGAACGCAGCGAAAUGCGAUAAGUAAUGUGAAUUGCAGAAUUCAGUGAAUCAUCGAAUCUUUGAACGCACCUUGCGCUCCUUGGUAUUCCUCGGAGCAUGCCUGUUUGAGUAUCAUGAAAUUCUCAAAAUAAAUCUUUUGUUCAUUCGAUCGAUUUUAUUUUGGACUUGGAGGUCUGCAGAUUCACGUCUGCUCCUCUUAAAUUCAUUAGCUGGAUCUCUAUAAACUUGGUUCCACUCGGCGUGAUAAGUAUCACUCGCUGAGGACACUGUAAAAGGUGGCCAGGAUUGUGGAAGAACUGCUUCCAAUAUUCCAUUCACUUGGACAAUAUACUUAUGAUCUGAUCUCAAAUCAGGUAGACUACCCGCUGAACUUAA
rnacentral:rRNA from 1 species